rnacentral:rRNA from 1 species
AGCGUAGCGAACUUAAAAGUAGCGAAGCGUGUGGAGUCACUGUCAGGAAAAGCCGCUAUUGCGUAUCAUGAACCCGUACCGUAAACCGACACAGGUGGAUGAGGAGAGAAUCCUAAGGCCGACGGAAGAAGCAUUGUUAAGGAAUUCGGCAAAAUGACCCCGUAACUUCGGGAGAAGGGGUGCCUACGAAUGUAGGCCGCAGAGAAUUGGCCCAAGCAACUGUUUAGCAAAAACACAGGUUUAUGCGAAACCGAAAGGUGAAGUAUAUGAGCUGACGCCUGCCCGGUGCUGGAAGGUUAAGGGGAGAGCUUAGAGGCAACUCGAAGGUUCGAACUUAAGCCCCAGUAAACGGCGGCCGUAACAAUAACGGUCCUAAGGUAGCGAAAUUCCUUGUCGGGUAAGUUCCGACCCGCACGAAAGGCGUAAUGAUUUGGGCACUGUCUCGACAAUGCAUCCGGUGAAAUUGAAAUACCAGUGAAGAUGCUGGUUACCCGCGCCAGGACGGAAAGACCCCAUGGAGCUUUACUCCAGUUUGAUGCUGGGAUUCGGUACUGCAUGUACAGGAUAGGCGGGAGACUAGGAAGAUAUAACGCCAGUUGUAUCAGAGUCGCUGUUGGGAUACCGCCCUUGUAGUACUGGGUUUCUAACCUGCCACCGUGAACCGGUGGAGGGACAACGUCAGGCGGGGAGUUUGACUGGGGCGGUCGCCUCCGAAAGGGUAUCGGAGGCGCUCAAAGGUUCCCUCAGAAUGGUUGGAAACCAUUCGAAGAGUGCAAAGGCAGAAGGGAGCUUGACUGCGAGGUCGACGGACCGAGCAGGUACGAAAGUAGGACUUAGUGAUCCGGUGGUAGAAAGUGGGAUUGCCAUCGCUCAACGGAUAAAAGCUACCCUGGGAUAACAGGCUAAUCACUCCCAAGAGUUCACAUCGACGGAGUGGUUUGGCACCUCGGUGUCGGCUCAUCGCAUCCUGGGGCUGUAGCAGGUCCCAAGGGUUGGGCUGUUCGCCCAUUAAAGCGGUACGCGAGCUGGGUUCAGAACGUCGAGAGACAGUUCGGUCCCUAUCCGGCGCGGGCGUAGGAUAUCUGAAAGGAGCUGGCCUUAGUACGAGAGGACCGGGCUGGACGGACCGCUGGUGUAUCUGUUGUCAUACCAAUGGCAUAGCAGGGUAGCCAAGUCUGGAAGGGAUAAACGCUGAAGGCAUCUAAGCGUGAAGCCCCCCUUAAGAUAAGAUAUCCCUGGAGUUAAUCCAGUAAGACCCCUUGAAGACGACGAGGUAGAUAGGGCAGAGGUGGAAGUGUGGUAACACAUGGAGCUGACUGUCACUAAUAGGUCGAGGGCUUGAUC